GUUCACUAUAUUCACACAUGAGGUGAACAGGGAGCUGUGUUCGGGAACUGAAAAAUUUGUGCAGAUUUGAACAACUUUUUACUGGAAGUCGUUCGCGAACUUCAGAAGAGAGCGCGAGAGCGAGCAAAUUUUGACAGUUUGAAAAUGGAGAACCUGCAAAUUUCUACUGGUACUUUUGCAUCUUUGAACAAAUGUUUUGUAAAGUCAGCUGUUUCAUGAAAAGCAGCCGUUACAUGACAAUAAAAAAGAUUCAAGGCAGCAUCUAGGGUUCAGAUACAGAAAACUCGCCAAAUGAAGUUGUAAUUUUACCUCAAGUCGGUUAUUCUACAUUAAAAAACACCAAGGAAAGAGCAAUGAUCCGUCUCUUAAGUGUUUUGAUGGAAUCAUCUACAUCAAAGUGCUACAAUUACACCAAUACCGUUCCUUUGUGUGUCUGGAUAUUCAGUUAAAAGUUACGCAGAGUGGGAUUGAAAAAAGUUAGUACAAAAUAGUCUGCCAAUUGUAAACGGAUACAGAUAUCUUUAAAGAUAACACAGCGUCCGCAGCCGCCACUUGACCAAAUAGAAAUCUCCCUUAGCUUCACAUCAGUGGUCGCAGCAAUUUGUUAGUCUAAUGUUCCUUUGUCAGCACACCAAGUGCUGCCGAUAGAGUACUACAAUAGUGUUCAGACAGGCUGAGGACACUUGUAAGAUACUCGACUCCAGACAGAUACAGAUUCUUCAGCAUCAGUGUAGAGCUUCCGUUUGGGACCAGGGCCUUGCGCUACUUGGCGCCACGAAUGAUAUUCGUAGCUUCGCGCAUUGUAAAUUGUGAUGGCUGUCCAGCGGCAAGGAGAUCACGGAUACUACGCAUGGCUCUUCUUCUAGCCUUGUCACUCUCGGGUCAAUAAAUUGAAGUUUAUCUAAGGAAAAUACCUCACAAGUAUCGCCAGCAUUUUUUAUUUAAAUACCAUUGUUUUCCUAAGCAAGCUAAUAAAAAACUAACAAAUCUGCUGUUGUUCUGCAUAUUUUCACUGCAAAGUACGCGAACGACUAUUUUUGCUUGCAAAUUUUCUGAAGAGAGUAAACUGGCUUUUGCUUCCCUGCAAAUUUUUACUGGAAAAGUACGAAUAAUUCCGACCUCAAUUGUCCCAAAAUACUACUUGCUCGAAGUUACCAACGAUAACUCGCUAGAUGGCAGUAAUACAGUUGGAAAUCUUACUUCUAGAUGCCUUCCAGUUUCACGAGGUGUCCACACAGGAGCAAUAUUAGGCACUCUCCAUUUUUCUUUAUACAGCAAUGACCUUCCUAAACAGUUGCAGAUUUGUAGAAUUCAUAUGUAUGCCGAUGAUGUUCAACGGUAAGCACGUCAGUAGAGAAAAUAAAUGAUACCAUAGUUCGUCUGAAUAACUACCUUGACAGUAUUAAUGCGUGAGCGAAUGCGAAUGACCUUCUAUUGAAUCCCUCAAAGUCAAAAUGCAUAGCCAUUUCCAGAAAUCGCACAAUAUUGUCGCUAAAUAUUAACAUUGCAAUUAAUGGUUCUGCAAUCGAAAUGGUGACCUCAGCGAGUAAUCAUGGCGUAGUUUUUGAUGAUAAAUUAUCAUGGGCGAAUCAUAGUAACUCAAUCAAAUACGAUACCAAUAUUGCAUAUCAGAGUAACAGUUUUUUUUAUCAGUGACAUACGCCUCUGGAAUACUCUUCCCAAUAAUAUCCAAACUUUAAGUAACAAAAAAUAGUUUAAAUCUUCGAUUUUGAAUAAUUUUUAAUCUUUGUAACAUAUUCAAUCUUUUUCUUUCUUUCUUUUAACCAUUUGUUAUUAAACAAAAUUUGAAGCAAAUUU